AGGCACUUUGCCUCUGAGUUCAGUUCAAGUCCUCGGAGGGCAGCUGACAUUUGCUGAACACCAGGGAGACAAGCCAGACAGGCAGGACAUGUGCCAGCUCUGCUCCUUCUCGUCAUCCACGGCCACUUCUGCACCUGCCAGGAGGAAGCGGAGAGAGGCACAUUUGGGGGCACACUGACCACAUCCUGUGUGUAUUGCCCAGGAUGGGAAUCUCACAAAAAAUGGUUGUGUCAUGGGAAUGACCGGGAUUCCUGCAAAAUCCUUGUUAAAACCACCGGGUCAGAACAACUGGUGAAGAGGGGCAGAGUGUCGAUCCAGGACAAUCACAGCCGACACACAUUCACCAUGACCUUGGAGAAUCUCCAGUGGGACAAUGAAGACACCUACUGGUGUGGGAUUGAGCGGACUGGCACUGAUAUAGGGUACAAAUUUUCAGUGAUUGUCGAACCAGUGACCAUGCAAUGUCACUAUGGCCCAAUGUGGGAGACCUACAUGAGGUCCUGGUGUCCAGAUGCUGAUCUGAGUAGCUGCACCAUCUUUGUUCAAACCGCUGGAUCAGAGCUGAAGAAGAACCUUGUGUCCAUCAAUCAGAAAAUGCACACAUUCUCCAUGACCAUAUGGGGGGAGUAAAACAAUUUUUGAGAAAAAUGACCUGUUGUGUUUCUGAGUUGCUCCCAGGCAUUUUACAGAAUGGCAACCCUGUUCACACGUGAAAUCUGGAAAUUCAGAGAAGGACCCAAGCUUAGAAUUCUUCCAUAAGUUCCUUCUUUGCUUUUUCUGGGGCACCUUUUAAAUUAACCACUUGGAUUUGAUUCUGUGAAAAAUCAGUGACCUCUUCCCCAACCCCCUUGUAAGUCACAGGGGCUCUCAGUCU